UACGAAGGGGGCUAGCGUUGCUCGGAAUCACUGGGCGUAAAGGGCGCGUAGGCGGCCUGCUAAGUCGAACGUGAAAUCCCUGGGCUCAACCCAGGAACUGCGUCCGAUACUGGUUGGCUUGAAUCCGGGAGAGGGACGUGGAAUUCCAGGUGUAGCGGUGAAAUGCGUAGAUAUCUGGAGGAACACCGGUGGCGAAGGCGGCAUCCUGGACCGGCAUUGACGCUGAGGCGCGAAAGCCAGGGGAGCAAACGGG
rnacentral:rRNA from 1 species